AGAGUUUGUAUCCUGGCGUCAGGAUGAACGCUGGCGGCGUGCUUAACACAUGCAAGUCGAACGGACCCGAUAUUGAAACCUAAGUGAUAUAUGGGUUAGUGGCGGACGGGUGAGUAACGCGUGGGCGAACCUGCCUUACACAGGGGAGUAACACUUAGAAAUAGGUGCUAAAACCGCAUAAGCGCACAGCUUCGCAUGAAGCGGUGUGAAAAACUCCGGUGGUGUAAGAUGGACCCGCGUCUGAUUAGCUUGUUGGCGGGGUAACGGCCCACCAAGGCGACGAUCAGUAGCCGGCCUGAGAGGGCGGACGGCCACAUUGGGACUGAGACACGGCCCAGACUCCUACGGGAGGCAGCAGUGGGGAAUAUUGCACAAUGGGGGGAACCCUGAUGCAGCGACGCCGCGUGAGUGAAGAAGUAAUUCGUUACGUAAAGCUCUAUCAGCAGGGAAGAAAAUGACGGUACCUGAGUAAGGAGCCCCGGCUAACUACGUG
rnacentral:rRNA from 1 species